UAUUGGAAAGAAUUUCAAAGUUUCAAGCUACCAAGGUUCCAACGAAGCCCCAUCAUCCCAUUUGGACAAUUAGGGAAGUUAAGAUUGGCUAAAGGCUCAAAUAAUACCGAUCACGAGGUAGCUGAUAACUAGGUCGAAGUGUCUUCAUAUAUUCGACCCUUGGUAGGUGUCUUGGCAUUCAGUAGCUAUACAUUCGUCUGAGUCUCUUCGCUGGAAGUCGAGUACUCUUUUGUUAUGUAUUGACAGACUCAAUGUAAAUUAUUAAGACAUAUGUUUAGACAACACAUGUAUAUUAGUUAGUAAUGCCAUUAUAAGUAGGCAAUGAAUAGCAUUAACUGGAUUCUAAAUUAUGAAAUGUGACUUUAGUAAUUUGAUGGAAUA